CUUGCAAUAGAGAGGUUUGGGUCAGAGCGUGAUACUCAUCCAAAACGUAUCGAUAGAGACUUAUGGGAGCAGGCUAGUGGAGGGAUGAAGAAAGGGACAUUGUUUGGAAUAUCCAAUGACAAGAGGACAUUGACAACCGUCAUGGGUUGCUGGACUUUCUGGUCCAAACAUGGGUGGGACAUCUAAUGAGGUACAAAGCAUGAAACAACAACUUGAAGAACAUGAAAAAAAAGCUGAAGUGUUUAGGAAAGAAGCUGAAGAGCUUAGGAAAGAAGCUGAAGAGCGUGCAACACAAAUGACUCGAUUACAAGAACAAGAAUGACAACCCCGUUUAGAAGUUAAAGAAAUGAGCGGACAAUUGGCUAAGUUAACUGUUUGUACACCAAAUCGCAUUAGGGUUAAAAAAGGGGUUUUUAGGGGAUUCGAACUAUUUGUUGGCGAUUCCCUUAUGGUAGAGAGUAAGCCUCUUUACGCCAAUUGAAUAGGGUUUGCGAUGUAGCCGAUUAAGAUCGUGUUGUUGUGUUAUUUUUUGAGUUUAUGUGUGAAUGAAAAUAAGCAGAUGAGUCCCCCUCUUGCGAA